GAUGAACGCUGGCGGCGUGCCUAAUACAUGCAAGUCGAGCGAACGGACGAGAAGCUUGCUUCUCUGAUGUUAGCGGCGGACGGGUGAGUAACACGUGGAUAACCUACCUAUAAGACUGGGAUAACUUCGGGAAACCGUAGCUAAUACCGGAUAAUAUUUUGAACCGCAUGGUUCAAAAGUGAAAGACGGUCUUGCUGUCACUUAUAGAUGGAUCCGCGCUGCAUUAGCUAGUUGGUAAGGUAACGGCUUACCAAGGCUACGAUGCAUAGCCGACCUGAGAGGGGGAUCGGCCACACUGGAACUGAGACACGGUCCUGACUCCUGCGAGAGGCAGCAGUAGGGAAUCUUCCGCAAUGGGCGAAAGCCUGACGGAGCAACGCCGCGUGAGUGAUGAAGGUCUUCGGAUCGUAAAACUCUGUUAUUAGGGAAGAACAUAUGUGUAAGUAACUGUGCACAUCUUGACGGUACCUAAUCAGAAAGCCACGGCUAACUACGUG
rnacentral:rRNA from 1 species